rnacentral:lncRNA from 1 species
AUGUCAAUCCAAACGUCAUCUUGUGUUUCCCUAAUUUUACACCCUCUCUCCCAAAUCUGCCCCCAUUCAGUGCAAUCUUAAUGAUUCCUUCAACCAAAACCCUUGUAAAUCGAAGAAGCGAAUGAAACGGUGGGCAAUAAGAACUGAAUGUUAUUGAAUCGUUUGCCAUCUCCAUUUAUAGUUAUAUUGAAUGUUGAAUUUCAUGAGUUCUUCAGUUGCGAAACCGUUGUAUAAAUCAAAUACCUCAAGGCUGAAACGAUUGGCCAUCUCUUCAUCCCGACGUAUUGCUCCACAAAUUUCUGGGGUUUUCCAUUUCUAAGUUUAUUGCGAUCUUCUUGUGCAAGUAAACACAGAGCAAAAUACCAUUUAGGGUUUUUCUAAAUCGAUUAAUUCAUUGAUAACUGCAUAUUCUACAAUCAUUUUGAAGCGAAGCAGAUUCACCACUUCAAUCAUGUGGACUCUCAAUUUUCCAAGGAAAAUAUAGCUCGAAUCAGGCUUUACGAGCUUAGGAACAAAUCGAAGUUGAAUUGAAUGAUCUCCAACUGGUCGUAAUAUCUACAAUCUAGGGGUGCUAAGAUAUUAGAAGGUUUAGAUGCUGUGAGGAAAAGACCUGGAAUGUACAUUGGAACUUUGGAAGUACGGGGUUUUGUGGUCUACAUCAUCUGGUUUAUGAAAUACUGGAUAACGCUGUUGAUGAAGCCCAAGCUGGUUUUGUUUCAAAAGUCGACAUUGUCUUACUCGCAGACGGGUCAGUGUGCAUCACUGACAAUGGACGUGGGGACGUAGGGUGGAAGUGUAUCCCUCAUUCGCAUGCAGAAUUGACAAAGUGGAACGACCAGUAAACAGGUCCGAGCCAGCAGCCCUAGAAAGAUGAGAACGACGCUGGAGGCGGAGGCCUAAAGACUAGAUGGUGGAUUUCUCACUUAAGCAAGUUAGGCAUGAUCUGGUAGAGAGAAGCAACUCGAGGGGGGAUUUAAAUCAGCACAUUACUAGCAAGAUCGUGGUGCCGAAGGUGAAUUGUUUCGUUUGGAGAGCCACCACUCGUAAGAUAACUACGGCUAUGUGGCCUUGGCGGCCGUUUGGUGAUGAAUUUUGUCCGAUGUGUGGCAUAGUGAAUGAAAAGGCUGACCGCUUUCUCGUUGAGUGCUCAUUCUCGAAGUCGGUGUGGUGGUUGGUCUGUAGAUGGUUGAAUGAGUUCAACCUUAUACAUUACACCACUUAGCCGCCCUAAAACUCCUAGACAGUAGACCCUAUUACUGUCUUCACAAAUCUUUUCCUUUGCUUUUUAGUGUUGUUUCAACACAAUAAUCAACCAUCCUACUUGGACAACUUAUAUAUGACUUAUUUAUCGUUUGAGUAAAUUACAAGUUUUGUCCUUUAUGUAAACACCAAAUUGCAGGCGGUGUCCUUUAUCUUUAAAAUUGACGGGUUUUGUACUUAAUGUUUCAAAAUCUUGCACGGUAUGUCUUUUAAGCCUAACCCAG